AUGCUCUGGAAGGUCUGGGCGCCGGUAAAGGCAAAGAUUUUGUCAUGGCUCCUCCACCAAAACCGCCUGUGGUGCAACGACCGUCUGCAAUGGCGCGGCUGGGUCAACGGGUAUUUCUGCCACCUAUGCUUCAGGAAUCUGGAGUCCUCCUUCCAUCUGUUCUGGGGCUGCAAUGUGGCCGUGGCCGUGGCCAUCUGGAAUCAGGCCGCCAGCUGGAAUGGGUGUAGUGCACUGAAGCAGGAAAAUUGGGCUAACGCAAAAGCAUCAACGGAGACGGCCUCUUGCAUCAUCAACUGCAGCGCGCCAAGACAAGCAAGAGGAGGAAUCAAGUCCAUGAUCAUCUUGAUCACAUCGGAGAUAUGGCAGUAG
rnacentral:rRNA from 1 species